GACGAACGCUGGCGGCGUGCUUAACACAUGCAAGUCGAACGGAAACGCCCUGCUCUUGUGGGGUGCUCGAGUGGCGCAGGUGUGAAUAACACGUGAGUAACCUGCCCUGUACUUUGGGAUAACUUCAGGACACUGGGGCUACUACCUGAUACGAGCUGCUGCUGCCGGGGGGGGGUUGGAAAGUUUCGGCUGGUGGGGGUGGACUCGUGGCUGAGUAGCUUGUUGGUGGGGUAGUUGCUUAGCCAGGCGUUGACCCGUAGCCGGUCUGAGAGGACGACCGGCGACCUUGGGACUGAGACGCGGCCCAGACGCCUACGGGAGGCAGCAGUGGGGAAUGGGGGACAGAGGGGGCGAACCUGAUCCAGCCAUGCCGCGUGCGGGAAGAAGGCCUUCGGGUUGUAAUCCGCUUUUGUUCGGGAAGAAAUCCUCUGGGCUAAUACCACGGGGGGAUGACGGUACCGGAAGAAUAAGCACCGGCUAACUACGUG
rnacentral:rRNA from 1 species